AUCUUUUGCUUCCUCCUUAAAGAGCUCAAUGGAAUUUUCUUUUGUUUCCAAAUUUAUUUUAUAUUUCUCAGCCCUUGGGUUAAUAAUUCUAAAAUUCUGAUUGAUACUGAAGAGUUGAAUAGGGAGCUCAAUGGAAUUUAACCCCUUUGAUGCUAUUAUUUGCUUUAUAUAUGUGUUUUUCUGGAUGGAACGCAUUGGGUCAUGGGAGAACAACAAGAAAGCAGCUCUUGAGGCUGAACUAAAACAAAUUGAGACUAUCGGUUCCAAUUUGUAGGAACGGUGUAUUUAGGUACUUUAGAACCUCAACUACCUUCAAGUAGAUUGUACAUUGUAAGGAAAUCAUAGUAAGCCUUCAGAUGUAUGAUCAUAGAGAAUUGGCAAGCAUCCAAUAGAAAUGGAGCACGUCAGAUAAUAAAGGUAUAUAUCUUAUGAAGGCUAGCAACUCAAGAGGAUACCUCUAACAUAUAAAGAAGAUAAGAACAAUCUAACGAUAUAGUUAACAGGUUCAACUGGAGUCGACAACUUCAUGAGUUUACUUUCAAAGAACAUUUUCAGAGACAAAC